rnacentral:rRNA from 1 species
AGGAGGCUAGUGUUAGUUAUUUAUUGGGUUUAAAGGGAAGAUAGGACGGUAAAUUAAACUCUAAACGAGUACUUUUUUACUAGAGUUAUAUGAGAGAAGGAAGAAUUUCUGGAGUAGAGAUAAAAUUUGAUGAUACCAGGAGGACUGUCAACGGCGAAGGCGUCCUUCUAUGUAAUAACUGACGUUGAGAGACGAAGGCUUGGGUAGCAAACAGGAUUAGAUACCCUAAUAGUCCAAGCAGACAAUGAUGAAUGUCAUACAUUAGAUAUAUAUUUAAUGUAUAAACGAAAGUGUAAGCAUUCCACCUCAAGAGUACUAUGGCAA